CUGCUCCCUCUAAAGCCAGGACGUGGAGAGGGAGUUAAGGGCUCACCUACUUACCAGCUUUCAGAGCCACUGCAGACACUGGGCAGCUUCAGUCUGGGCCUGGUUAGGGUUUCUGCCUUCUCCAGAUGGUGCCCGCCGGAAGACCAAGACUUCCAUUCAGGAGCCUUUAGGGGAGACUUGUGUUUGGAGGAGACCAGCUGCUUCUGAACGGAGAUGUCGGUUUCUCGCACCAUUCACCAGUGAGGGGAAGUAAGGGUCAGCGGGAGGUGACUCCAGGCCAAGGACAGUGGUACAUGGAGAUGGACGUGAGUGACCCUGAGAGCCAGGAAACAAGGAAGUGAGCAAAACGCAAAACCACAAGAGCGUGUUCAACACACAGGAGCCAACUGAAGGCCCAAGCACAAUGCUGGAAUAAUUAGAGCCCCAAUGUACAAGGGAAGUCUUGGAACCCAUCAGAACUAAAAAGACCAAAAGGAAACAACUACUGCAGGUAAGUGACCUUUUGGAAAGGAAAUAUUUUUUCUCCAAACAGAAAAAUCAUGUUAUCUUGAAACUAAAUAAAUACAAAGAAAGUAAGAAUUUUUGCUUAAAAUAAUGUGUCAAUCUGGGUUCAUUAGUUCUGUCUAACAUAGCACAGAAACACUAGGGGUAAGCGGUGAAGAAAACUGUCUGUAGUGUACAGAACACCUACACAGCAUUUUUUCACCUGAGUUAUAAACCAGAAAGUACCACAAAAUUCUAAGUUCAGUACAAAUAAGUG